rnacentral:rRNA from 1 species
UGGUGGAGUGAUUUGUCUGGUUAAUUCCGAUAACGAACGAGACCUUAACCUGCUAAAUAGUAAUAUUAACCUUGCGGUUGAUGAUUACUUCUUAGAGGGACUGACCACGAUUAGUGGUCGGAAGUUUGAGGCAAUAACA